UUUUUUAAUUAUUUUGGGGUUUUUGCAGCUCAGUUCACACAGCCACAAAGUGUUGCAAAUCCUGCCCAGAAAUUAUGAUCACUUCCCCUUUUAUGGCUUAAAGGUAUGAGAAAUAUUUCAUUUAAGAAGAUAACAAAUGUUUUAUAAUCAUGAAUGUUCACUUUGUCUCAUGCAUCCUGCAAGCUGAACACCUACCACAGAAGUGGCCUCCAACACAAGGAGGACAUGGAGCUGUUGGAGCGAGCCUAGAGGAGGCCACAGAGAUGCUCCAAGCGCUGCAGCACCUCUGCUAUGGAGACAGGCUGAGAGAGCUGGGCUUGUUCAGCCUGGAGAAGAGAAGGCUCCAGGGAGACCUUACAGCACCUUCCAGUGUCUAAAGGGGCUGAUAAGAAAGCUGGAGAGGGACUUUUGACAAGGGCAGGUAGUGACGGGACAAGGGGGAAUGGCUUUGAACUGACAGAGGGGAGAUUUAAGAUGGGAUAUUACGAAGAAUUUCUUCCCUGUGAGGGUGGUGAGGCACUGGCACAGGUUGCCCAGAGAAGCUGUGGCUGCCCCAUCCCUGGCAGUGUUCAAGGCCAGGCUGGACGGGGCUUUGAGCAACCUGGUCUAGUGGAAGAUGUCCGUGCCCAUGGCAGGGGGGUUGGAACUAGAUGGUCCUUAAGGUCCCUUCCAACCCACACCAUUCUAGGACUCUCCAAAUGUAAAUUCAAAGCAGGAGUGAGAAGUUGUAUCUUUCCUACCUGGGCUACAAAAAUCAGACAUUCCUGGAAGCAGCACUCCUUAUAGCUCCAAUAGCUCCUCUCCCCUGAGAUAACCUCAGCAUUUUACCAGAUAUCCAGCACUGCAAGUUACUCCUCAAAAAUCAGCAGGAGCAACUCUUUGGAAAUUAAUGAUACUGGGUUUGUGAUGUUUGUGCCUAAGCCAAGCUUUUUGCUGAAGAUUUUGAAAAAUAUAAAGACUACAUUUUAAUUACAAUAAGGUCAUAGACUUGAGGACUUGGUGCUCAAGGAUUAUACUAUCACAGCAGCCUUAAAGUAACAGCUCCACCUUGUGGCUUUUACUAGAACUGCAGGGUUUAAGCCCACCUAGAAGUACAGUUCAUGCUAUCGAGUAACUGAGCACCUGACACAUUUUCCUGCAUGCAGUUCUGUCAAAAAAGUAUUUUUAUAUGCCUUUAUCUGAGAUUAUGAAGAAAUAGGAAUUGUGUGUUUGAUAAGCGAUGAAACACCUUUCAGUAAAUCAAGAGGAUCUUCAUCUUAAUACUACCACAAGAAGAUAAGCGUGCAGAGAACCCCAGCUAUCUGUCCUGUACCCUGGUGACUGACACAAUUACCCUUAGUACUAUAUUCACAUUUACCUAUCAGAAACUGUGCUCACCAGAUAAGCCAGCUUUGCCAGGUUAAUCUAACCUGGAACACGGAGAAAGAAUUUUGUGAAAAGAAGCUUUUAAAAUGUACAGUAAUUAAUGAAUUUCUAUGGCUCAGAGGUCUGAAACUUAUCUGAAACACUGCUCCUAUUUGUUUCUAGGAUCAGAUACUUAAUUCCCAUGAAAUUCAGUGUUGUCUAUCUUUACAAAAUAUCUCAACUGAUGGCAUUAGGGUGGAAGGACUACAAAACAUGCAAGACAGUAUCAAUACAAGCUAACUGCCAGGUGAGACCAUCCAUAGCGCAGGGACUGGAACUGAUCUACUGCUGACAGCAGCCAGCUUCAGCCAGUCUUCCAACUUCUACUGCCACACAAGACAAAAAUCAGCAGCAACAACAACAAAAAAGGCAUUUCUGAAGCCUAAACCAGAUUUUGAUGUUUUAGACAACAGCCCAUCUGUUUGUGUUCAACUCCUGUGUUAGAUCUGAAUAACAAGUGACUGAGGAUGAGAACAUGACCACAGCAAUAGCCGGUUGCAUGAUAUAAGCCAGUAGCAUCUCCCCCGAGCCUUCACCCUGCAGUUCUGCCUUUACGGCCCAAAUGUCCUAGCUCCCAUGACAGGGAAGACACAGGAUUUAUUUCUGUCAUUUUGGAAGAUUAUUAUUACCACUGGCUAUCUAUCAGAAAAGCAAGGUCAUUAGUGUCUGCCCCCUUUACGCAAAGAAGACCUAAUGGUCUGCUUGCACUCCAGGAGCUGAUUCCUGCAGGCAGAUACCUCCUGUAAUCACAGCUGGGCACAGAC
rnacentral:lncRNA from 1 species